AUUGAACGCUGGCGGCAUGCCUUACACAUGCAAGUCGAACGGUAACAGGUCUUCGGAUGCUGACGAGUGGCGAACGGGUGAGUAAUACAUCGGAACGUGCCCAGACGUGGGGGAUAACGAGGCGAAAGCUUUGCUAAUACCUCAUACGAUCUAAGGAUGAAAGCAGGGGACCGCAAGGCCUUGCGCGUUUGGAGCGGCCGAUGGCAGAUUAGGUAGUUGGUGGGAUAAAAGCUUACCAAGCCGACGAUCUGUAGCUGGUCUGAGAGGACGACCAGCCACACUGGGACUGAGACACGGCCCAGACUCCUACGGGAGGCAGCAGUGGGGAAUUUUGGACAAAGGGCGAAAGCCUGAUCCAGCAAUGCCGCGUGCAGGAUGAAGGCCUUCGGGUUGUAAACUGCUUUUGUACGGAACGAAAAGGCUCUGGCUAAUACCUGGGGCACAUGACGGUACCGUAAGAAUAAGCACCGGCUAACUACGUG
rnacentral:rRNA from 1 species